rnacentral:tRNA from 1 species
GCCUGAGUGGCUCAGUCGGUUGAGCGCCUGACUUCGGCUCAGGUCACGACCUCACGGUUCGUGAGUUCAAGUCCCGCGUCGGUCU